AUCAUCGUAAAGCAUCAAUUCUACGCCGGCCGCUCCAUAUAUGUCACACAUUCUGUUUUGAAGUGUAAUGUCUAUGGAAGCAGUGGGCGUCAGAAUAAUAUCAACUAUUUAAGA
rnacentral:precursor_RNA from 10 species